rnacentral:rRNA from 1 species
AACAGGAUUAGAUACCCUGGUAGUCCACGCCCUAAACGAUGUCAACUAGGUGUUGGAAGGGUUAAACCUUUUAGUACUGCAGCUAACGCGUGAAGUUGACCGCCUGGGGAGUACGGCCGCAAGGUUAAAACUCAAAGGAAUUGACGGGGACCCGCACAAGCGGUGGAUGAUGUGGAUUAAUUCGAUGCAACGCGAAAAACCUUACCUACCCUUGACAUGCCAGGAACUUUCCAGAGAUGGAUUGGUGCCCGAAAGGGAGCCUGGACACAGGUGCUGCAUGGCUGUCGUCAGCUCGUGUCGUGAGAUGUUGGGUUAAGUCCCGCAACGAGCGCAACCCUUGUCAUUAAUUGCCAUCAUUUAGUUGGGCACUUUAAUGAGACUGCCGGUGACAAACCGGAGGAAGGUGGGGAUGACGUCAAGUCCUCAUGGCCCUUAUGGGUAGGGCUUCACACGUCAUACAAUGGUCGGUACAGAGGGUUGCCAAGCCGCGAGGUGGAGCCAAUCCCAGAAAGCCGAUCGUAGUCCGGAUCGCAGUCUGCAACUCGACUGCGUGAAGUCGGAAUCGCUAGUAAUCGCGGAUCAGCAUGUCGCGGUGAAUACGUUCCCGGGUCUUGUACACACCGCCCGUCACACCAUGGGAGUGGGUUCUACCAGAAGUAGUUAGCCUAACCGUAAGGAGGGCGAUUACCACGGUAGGAUUCAUGACUGGGGUGAAGUCGUAACAAGGUAGCAUCU